rnacentral:rRNA from 1 species
GAUGAACGCUAGCUACAGGCUUAACACAUGCAAGUCGAGGGGAAACGGCAUUGAGUGCUUGCACUCUUUGGACGUCGACCGGCGCACGGGUGAGUAACGCGUAUCCAACCUUCCCAUUACUGUGGGAUAACCUGCCGAAAGGCAGACUAAUACCGCAUAGUCUUCGAUGACGGCAUCAGAUUUGAAGUAAAGAUUUAUCGGUGAUGGAUGGGGAUGCGUCUGAUUAGCUUGUUGGCGGGGUAACGGCCCACCAAGGCGACGAUCAGUAGGGGUUCUGAGAGGAAGGUCCCCCACAUUGGAACUGAGACACGGUCCAAACUCCUACGGGAGGCAGCAGUGAGGAAUAUUGGUCAAUGGACGGAAGUCUGAACCAGCCAAGUAGCGUGCAGGAUGACGGCCCUAUGGGUUGUAAACUGCUUUUGUAUGGGGAUAAAGUUAGGGCCGUGUCCCUAUUUGCAGGUACCAUACGAAUAAGGACCGGCUAAUUCCGUG